rnacentral:rRNA from 1 species
GACGAACGCUGGCGGCGUGCUUAACACAUGCAAGUCGAGCGGUAAGGCCCUUUCGGGGGUACACGAGCGGCGAACGGGUGAGUAACACGUGGGUGACCUGCCCUCAGCUCUGGGAUAAGCCUGGGAAACCGGGUCUAAUACCGGAUAUGACUCCAUGACGCAUGUUGUGGGGUGGAAAGCCUUGUGCGGCUGAGGAUGGGCCCGCGGCCUAUCAGCUUGUUGGUGGGGNGAUGGCCUACCAAGGCGACGACGGGUAGCCGGCCUGAGAGGGCGACCGGCCACACUGGGACUGAGACACGGCCCAGACUCCUACGGGAGGCAGCAGUGGGGAAUCUUGCGCAAUGGGCGAAAGCCUGACGCAGCGACGCCGCGUGAGGGAUGACGGCCUGGUGUAACU